AUUCUUGAAGAUGUAGAUUUGGAGAAACCUGCUAGUCAUAGAAAAUAUGCUUCACAAACAAUAGCCAAUGAUCAUAUAUAUACAGCCAAUUUAUCAUUCUUAUCAAGAAAGAUCAAAUAUCAAGAUAAAUAUAUUUUAAAAUUAAGAAAAAAAAUGAGCGCCUCUUAUAAGAGGGAAACUAUAAGAAAUAAGAAGAUUAUUGAUUUAAAAUCAAUUAUUAAACAUUUGAAGAAUAAAAAUUUAAUAUGUGGUGAAGGGGAGGAUCAAUUAAAAAAUUUUUUUACAGGCAUCCCUUACGUAUGCCACAUGAUUAAGUUGUUGGAAAUCUUCUCGGUGAUAAAAAAUUUUAAUUUAUAAUAAUGGAUCAAUAAUAAAUUGGAAAUAUAUAGCUAAUCUUCACAAUUUACAAGAUAAAGAAGGACUUCGUGCUGCUAAUAAAAUUAAUAAAUCUCAUAUUGACUAUCACAAACAAAAAAUGAAAGUUAAACUUGCUGUACAAAAGGUAAUCUUUUGGCACAAGAGCUAAAGAUUGAUGGAUUUGAAAAUUGUGAGAGCACAGUUGACUUUAUUCAAAUGAUUGAUCAAAUGUUUGACUUUUUAAAUACACGGAACAUAGUUGCUAAAGGGUUUAAAAAACCACUAACUACAAAUUCACUUUCUUAUUAUGAAAAUUUUUUUGAGAUGUGCAUUACAACUUUAAAAUCCUUAAAGUUUGAAAGUGGAAAAUACGUUUAUAGAUCAAAAAAAAAGUCUGCAUUAUAGGCUUAAUCUUGUCAAUGAAAAGCAUUUUGGGAAUUGGGAGGGAAUUAUUAUUAGGACCUAACCCCAAACUCAAAUAUCUUUUAACCUACAAAACAUCUCAAGAUCAUCUAGAGCUCUUCUUUAGCUGUUUACGAAGCAGAGGAGGUUUUAAUAAUAACCCUUCUGCCUAUCAAUUACGAUCAGCUAUAAGAGGCGUUAUGAUAGCAAAGAUGGGAGCCUUAUGCACAGGUAAUUGUAUUCCACUCGAUAAUACAAAUCUUUUUUGUGGAGAUUAUCAAGAUAAUGAUGAUGACAAUAUACAAGCUAUAGAUUUUUCUUUUAUAGAUGUUCCAGAUAUCCAAAAAUUAUCGCCAUUCGUUGAUAACAUCGCAACUUAUAUAUCAGGAUAUAUAACACGUAAACUUAUAUUCGAAAAUAAGGUAAAGUGUUAUAUAUGUAUUUCUGCAAUGAUUGUUAAAAAUUGUAAAGAUCAAGAGAGCUAUAAUUAAAAACAAUCAGGGAUUAAUAAUUCCUUCCAGAGAUGUAUCUAGAUUAUGCCAAUAUGCUGAAAGUGGUUUCCGUACAUUUGAACAUAAUAAUCAAAUUAAAAGGCCUUGUAUAUUUAAACGAAUAGUAUCUUUUGUGAUUUCAAAAGUGAUAGAAACAAAUAUUUUUGAUAAUCUGGUUGAUCACAUGCUAGAUCAAGAAGAAACAUCUAGCCAUUAUUAAAAAUUAAUUAGAUUAAUAGUUGAACGUUACAUAAACAUAAGAUUUUAUCAUUUUGCAGAUAAACAAAAUAAAAAUGAAAAUACCAACAUUCGUCAGAAGCUGACCAAAACCAUUCUAUUUAAAGGACAAUAAAUAUAUCUAUAUAAUCUUUUUUAAUUUAAAUGAUAUUAGAUAUAUAUUGUAACUAUAUAUAUUUAAAUAUAAAUAAUAUCU